UAAUCAGGAGGGACUGAUUGAGGGCAGGUGUGACUGAAGGUGCAACUACUUAAACCCAGCAGGCAAGCUCUACUAUGAGCAUUGAUUCCCUGGCCUGCUGGGACAGCACUGGCUGCCGUUUGUUUUAGUUGAUUUUACAUGUGCUGCGGCUGGAGCGUCCUUCUCUCACUGGUGUCUGGGGCUGGGAGUUCACUUAGACGGUGAUUUGGUCUGUGGUGCACGCAGUUUAUAGCAUGGUGUUUUUGUUUGGAAGUAAUUGGAUUUAUGUUUUGUUUGUAGUAUAACCCCAGUCCUGCCGCGGUG